rnacentral:lncRNA from 1 species
GAUCACAGUGGCAUCAACAGCGGUCUCGAGGUCUACCGGAGAAGAAGAGGGGGAAGAAACAGUAAAUACAUAGCAAGUAAGAGCAUAACAUGACAACAGGCAAAGCUAGACGUGUUCUAACGCGGUGCUAGGUGAUACUGGCGAAGGGGAAAACAUCCGGGAAAGUUUUCCCGGUUCCGGACGUUUGUCAGACAGAUGAACCGGAGGGGAAAAGUUCAACGUUUGCUAUGCUAGGGACGUGUGGCAUACAAACUGAUCGUGUAUCCGGGUUUGUCUCGAAAUUCUGAGCAACUUUCAUGUAGAAAACUUUUUCAUUCGAGUUACGGAUUAUUUUAUAUGAUUUUUUUCGAAGUUUUAUUGAAUUCAUGGAAUUUUUAUUAAAUCUAAAAUGAGGUUAUUGCAUCAGCAUGACGUCAUCAGGGUCAACAGUCAACCUUGACUAGGUUGACUGGUCAAAAAGAGCAGUGGGGCCCAUCUGUCAUAGUCAUCUCAGCUAACCUAAUAGAUUAGUUAACUAAACGAGGUGGUUAAGCUGAUUAAUUCUAAUUAGACCUAAUUAAACCAAAUAAUUAAGUUAAUUGUUUUUAUUAAAUUAUUUUUCUUUCUUUUUUAUAUAAAACAGGGGAGAGGGCCCCAGCUGCCAGUGGCACAAAAGCCACUGGAGCGGGCUUAACAGGCGCGGGCGGGGGGUGCCCGUCGGGGCAUACUCGGGCGACGGCCGCGGCCGUUCUGGAUGCGGGGGCGCCGGCGCGGUGCAGUGCAGCCAAGGGGCGCGGCCGGAGCAGACGCGACGGGGAGGAGGGGACUAGGCGGCACCGGCAGCGGUCGGUGGCAGGGCCGGCGAGCGGUGGCCGGUGCGGGCGUGUGCAGCGUUGAGCGCGGCGGGAGCACGCGACACACACACAACGCGAGGCCGUGGCUGGUGGAGUUCGCAAACGGGGUGAGCAGGGGACCCCAAGGGGGCGACCAACGCGGGGUCAGGGAGCAGCGUGCACGUGACUAGGGGCAUGGAAGCACGACGAAACCAUGGCGAACGCGAGCUGCGGUGGCUCCGGGCGCGGGUGAUAACGGCCUAUGGCGGGGAGAAUGAGAGAGAGGGUUUGACGUUCACCGAGGAGCCGGUCGUGGAGGGCAGCGGGCUCGGGGAGGCCUGCCGGAGUCGGAGUAGUCAACGAAGUCCGGCGAGACAGAGGAGGAAGAAGACGGCGGUGCGGGCGCUCCGGUCGCUCCCGGCCACCGCGCGUGGUCGGAGUUGGGGGAGAGGGCGAGCGGAGCUUGCGGACUUGACAGAUGGAUGCGGGGGCGUUGAUGGCCGCGGUGGAGCGCGGGGAACGGCGGCGACCACGCUCGGGAGGAGGAGAUCUGGAGGAGGGGGAGGCCAGAGGGAGAGGGGAGCAAGUGGGCGUGGGAGAGGGGAUCGAGGGGGCGAGGGGGAGGAACGAGGAGGCAUGGGGUGGCCUUAUCCCCUCGUCGAUGGGGACGGCAAGGCGGUCCGGGG